rnacentral:lncRNA from 1 species
AUUGCAUUGGCUGGAGACGGCGUGUCACCUAACCUGGAACCAACAGGUCCCAUGGCCAUGCCUGAAGCAUCCAUUUGAGAAAAUGGAUUCACCGAUGGACUUGGUCCAUCAGGCUCACACCCAGAGUAGGCCUGAGAUAAUUCCAAGCAAAUCACACAACUCAGAAGGAGGGGACUUCUCCCAAGGAACGGUUGGCAGCAGAAGAGCUUGUUAGGAGGCUACCUGGAAGGGAACCGAAUUUCUGAUGUAGGUUAAAGGCAAGUAUAAAUUCAAGGCUUGCUGAAAUUCUCUCUUUGCAGUCAGUCCUCACUUUUAGAAUGAACACAUUAUAUUUAGCGAUACAAAGAAAUAAUAAUGUGCUGCUGGUUUGUUGUGAAGAGCUGAGGUUGAAAACUUCGUGUUUUCAGUUUGAUCAUUCCAACUAGCAUGAAGCAGAAGGAAUUGGGCAUCUUGAUGUUAUGGCUGCUUGAUGUUAUGGCUACUGAGACUGAUUCUCUUGGUGCAUAUGUUACUUCAUCCCUUUGUGCAAGGCCAAGGGAGUUUCUUUCAA